GAGGGUAUAGCUUAAGUGGUAGAGUGCAUGCCUGGCAUGCAUGAUGUUCUGGGUUCAAUUCCCAGUACCUCCU
rnacentral:tRNA from 1 species